AGCGAACGCUGGCGGCAGGCCUAACACAUGCAAGUCGAACGAACCUUUCGGGGUUAGUGGCGGACGGGUGAGUAACACGUGGGAACGUGCCUUUAGGUUCGGAAUAACUCAGGGAAACUUGUGCUAAUACCGAAUGUGCCCUUCUGGGGAAAGAUUAAUCGCCUUUAGAGCGGCCCGCGUCUGAUUAGCUAGUUGGUUGAGGUAAUGGCUCACCAAGGCGACGAUCAGUAGCUGGUCUGAGAGGAUGAUCAGCCACAUUGGGACUGAGACACGGCCCAAACUCCUACGGGAGGCAGCAGUGGGGAAUCUUGCGCAAUGGGCGAAAGCAUGACGCAGCCAUGCCGCGUGAAUGAUGAAGGUCUUAGGAUUGUAAAAUUCUUUCACCGGGGACGAUAAUGACGGUACCCGGAGAAGAAGCCCCGGCUAACUUCGUG
rnacentral:rRNA from 1 species